CGGCGGCGGGGCCUGCAUGAGGCGGCGCUUCGCGUCGCUCCCGUUCCUGUUUCCCACAGCGCCCCUGAGGGGCCGCGGGGCGCGGAGCGGGCGGUGGGAGCUGACGGGAAUCACGAAUCACGGGAGAUGCCCAGCUGGGAGGCACCCACGAGCAUCAUUUAGCACUGCUGUUACUUUCCAAGCUGUUCGCUGCUGAUACAUACGAUGUGUCUGUGACUUUGGGGAUUUUAACGUCGCAGAACCCCUCAGGAGAUGUCUGUAAGUGACUGCAGGAUGAAUGAGAAGGGGUCCAAUGGAGAAUGAGGAGUCCUGUCACUGGUAUUGCUUUGAAAAACUUCACCUCCAGCUAAAUUUCCAUAAGGACAUCAGAGCUUUUCUUACACAGCAACAUUUUAAUU